rnacentral:rRNA from 1 species
CCUACGGGAGGCAGCAGUGAGGAAUAUUGGACAAUGGAUGGAAAUCUGAUCCAGCCAUGCCGCGUGCAGGAAGACGGCCUUAUGGGUUGUAAACUGCUUUUAUACGGGAGCAAUAGGGGUUACGAGUAAUCCGAUGAGAGUACUGUAUGAAUAAGGAUCGGCUAACUCCGUGCCAGCAGCCGCGGUAAU